rnacentral:rRNA from 1 species
AGGAUUCCCCUAGUAACUGCGAGUGAAGCGGGAAAAGCUCAAAUUUAAAAUCUGGCGGUCUCUGGCCGUCCGAGUUGUAAUCUAGAGAAGUGAUGCCCGUGCUGGACCGUGUAUAAGUCUCCUGGGAUGGGGCGUCAUAGAGGGUGAGAAUCCCGUCUUUGACACGGACUACCAGUGCAUUGUGGUAUGCUCUCAAAGAGUCGAGUUGUUUGGGAAUGCAGCUCAAAAUGGGUGGUAAAUUCCAUCUAAAGCUAAAUAUUGGCGAGAGACCGAUAGCGAACAAGUACCGUGAGGGAAAGAUGAAAAGAACUUUGGAAAGAGAGUUAAACAGUACGUGAAAUUGCUGAAAGGGAAACGCUUGAAGUCAGUCGCGUUGGCCAGGGAUCAGCCUUGCUUUUGCAUGGUGUACUUUCUGGUUGACGGGUCAGCAUCAAUUUUGACCGCUGGAAAAGGGCCUGGGGAAUGUGGCAGCUUCGGCUGUGUUAUAGCCCCUAGUCACAUACGGCGGUUGGGAUUGAGGAACUCAGCACGCCGCAAGGCCGGGUUUCGACCACGUCCGUGCUUAGGAUGCUGGCAUAAUGGCUUUAAGCGACCCGUCUUGAAACACGGACCAAGGAGUCUAACAUGCCUGCGAGUAUUUGGGUGGAAAACUCAAGUGCGUAAUGAAAGUGAAAGUUGAGAUCCCUGUCGUGGGGAGCAUCGACGCCCGGACCAGAACUUUUGGGACGGAUCCGCGGUGGAGCAUGUAUGUUGGGACCCGAAAGAUGGUGAACUAUGCCUGAAUAGGGUGAAGCCAGAGGAAACUCUGGUGGAGGCUCGUAGCGAUUCUGACGUGCAAAUCGAUCGUCAAAUUUGGGUAUAGGGGCGAAA